rnacentral:lncRNA from 1 species
CCCAGUUGGUGUUUAGUCUUCGCUUAGUUGAUGAAACUACAUGGUGCAAAUUGGAUUACAUGUUAACAUUGUGUUCGCUUAGUUCACUUUUAUGAAAACAUAAUUAGCCUUCGCUUAGUUGGUUAACUGUGUUGGAUUAGAGGUUAGAGUAGCUCCUUUAUUAUGUUAAUAUGUGAUUGGAAGCAUAGUGAUUGAGUUAAUGACCGAC